UUUAACAAUAGGCUGAUAAAAAGCACUAAGAAAGUCAGAACAAACUAAAAUUUCACACAAUGACUUGUUCAUACAGCUCCAGACACUGAAAGGGUUCAGUUUUAUUAUAAAAAAAUAUCACUCGUCCGUCGUCUUACAGAGACUUAGGUGCUCCUGUUCUCUGCAGAGAUUUGCACAGCAUUUCCACCAAAGCUUCUACUAAAGGUGUGUCGAGCGAUUCGCAGCCCUGAAAUCCACACUGUUACAAGGCUGCCAGGAGGCUGAGUGAAACAGGAUCCAGGGACUCAACAGGACCCCCAAUGUCAUUUGAUACAGCAACUACAGGAGAGGGUAGAAAUGAUCUCUCUGCUUCCUCCUUCCAAUUCUCUCCUUCUCUCCUUUCCAGCGACCAGCAUUCACUUUUCACCUGCCCUUUUUUUGAUCCACACCCACUGUUGCCAAAUCUUUUGGUUUUAC